UUGUGUUUGGACCCAGCCAAUAUUUUUUUUAAGUCUUUUUUGCUUUAAUGAUUAAUAAUCAUGUUGUCAUUUCACAUUUUUUUCUCACUUUCUAACUGCUGCAUCAUAUAUACACCACCCAUUUUAUUUUGAGAAAAGGAACAGUGCUAUCUAUAAAAUUUCCCUUCUUUUAAUGAAUAGAGCAUAUUAAAGUGCAACAUUUGAACAUAGUAGUACACAGUUGGUGCCAGAGUCUCGGGUCAAAAUAAACGCUGCAAAAAUGAAUCUCCCAAGAGUUUCUUAAAAGCUGCAUUGUAUAGAGUAUAGUAAACUAUUUCCG
rnacentral:lncRNA from 1 species